GGACACCUAAUGUGACCGAGUCGUGCGACAGGACGGACAGAAAGAUGGGCAAAGUGUGAUCAAGUAUCACAUGCAGAAUCCAGGCCAGCGGCUUCGGGGGUUCCCUGUACAACUCUUUGACCUUUUCUCUGUGUUUGAAAUUUUUCAUAAAUUCUUAAAAGAAAAAAAAAAAAUGCAGUACUACUGAAAAUAUUUGACUCUGAGGGAAAACUUACUGUUCCGUGAGAACAAAAUCACGUCACAAAACAGGCUGUAUGAACAAGCCUCAGAAUGGAAAUAGAAGUAUACAGCAUAGCAUGGAACACGGUGCCUUUCGGCAGCAGCAGUCAUGACUUGAGUGUGGUGUGGUGCAAACGAUUCUUAGUCUCUUCUGCUUUCCUCUGCAUUUCCCAAUUCUCCUACAGCCAACACCCACAUUACUUCCGUAAUCUGGAAGCAGCUGUUUAAAAUUAAGAAUUGUCUCUCACAACCCACAUUAUUCAAGAUACGCUCAUCUGUGGACUGCAGAGCACUUCAGAAACAAGUUGGUGGUAAUUUUCAAACAGUUCAGGUCUUGUCACUCAACCGUGAAAACCAAGUUCUGGUUCCAGCCCUCAAGUGGUUUGGGGUGUGGUGGCCCACAGACCUCCACACAGGCUAUCUCUGGAGCCCAGUGUUCCCCAAGGCGGGCUGGAAAUAGUAGUGCCCCGCGCUCAGGGCCCCCUAGAGGAAGGGUUCGGCUGGGAGCCCUGGUGGGACAGUGGUUAAGAGCUCAGCGGCUAACCAAAAGGUCUGCAGUUCAAAUCCACCAAUGACUCCUUGGAAACCCUAUGGAACGGUUCUGCUCUGCCCUAUCGGGUCACUAUGAGUCUGCAACUUGACGGCAACGGGUUGUUUGGUGUGUCACUAAGAUGCAGGGUUGGUGGGGAAGAAGAGAAAGAUGAAUCCGAGACCAGCCACUCCUUGUUCACACGUUCCACCGCAGUAGGGACCCUAGCCACGUGCUCCCUUGGCUUGGGGGCCGCUUCAAAUGGUGGCCAUGAGCCUAAAGGUACCCAGGGCCAGACCGGCCCCACAGCCAAGCUGCAGAUCCACACGCGCAUGCACACACUCAGCCUCUGCGUGCUGUAUCUCUGUGACCGCCCUGGGGAGGCCACACCCACACUUACACGUCACUUUGGGUGGUGUAGAUAUGAUCAAAAAGGGACUCAAUUGCCAUCCAUUUGACGGGGAUCCGACCCUAGACAGAGAGCGGUAAAAGAGAAGCUAUUAAGGCUGCUCUAAUGGAAUAAGAAUGUCCCAGGAGCCACUGGGGAGUGGAAGGCUGAUGCAGAUGACUGGAACAGUGUUCUGAGCACAGCUGGUUCAGGGAUGCUGAGUCCUGGUACCCAGAACGCUCUAGAGCACAGAACUGUUGUAGCCUCUCUGAGAUGUCGGGGGUGAGAGGUGGCUCACAGACAGCAGGGGAAGCCUGAGGAGCCACACCUCUGCUAGGAGGCAGCCACAGGAAGCAGAACUAGACCGGCCCCAGCCCAAGGGAGGGCCUCCAUGAGGGCCCAGUGGUACCCACUGUGGCCAAACUCACCUGUCCAGCCAGAUGGCCCUCAAACAGCUCUGGGUAUAAAUGUACUUGGAACUCAAUCUCCUUUGUCUCUAACCUGGAGACUUCUGAUACAAACUGCCCCCACAGGCUCUGCUGAGAGGCCCUGGGGAGAGCCUUGUUGUAUGUCCUGAGGCUAGUGUUCUUGCCUGUUUCAUUCCCUUUUGCUCAAAGCUGCCGGGCUGGCCCUCGGAAGUGCUUCCCAAUGCAACUUGAAAACAACUUUUUAAUAGGUCUUAAGAUGCUACUCAGUAUGCAUACACAUGAUUGUAGAACAACAUUUACUGUAUUUUCUUUUGCUUAGAAAUGUUUUGUCGGGUUUGUCCUGUCUCUCUGAGCUCUGUGCAGAGCUAUGCGGGCUGGGCUCUUUGUGCGACCACACCAGCCCUUGGCAAUGACCAUAUUGCAGCCCUCCAUGCUGCAAUAUGGUCAUUGCAAUAUGACAUAGACGGCCCCUGAGGAUGGGUGUCAACAGGAAAGCUUUCCCACACCCUCCUCGGGUGGGGGCCAGGGCAGGGGCCCCCUUCACUUCCCCUUCAGUGGCUCUGAGUUCUGCAGCCACAACAGAAACGCCAGGAGAAAUGAAAUACCAUCCUCGCAACUUGUAGCAACAAAGCACCGCUUCUCCUGCCCCUUAGAGCAUAUGAAUCAUGCACGGUCAUGUAUUUUUUGAGCAACCAUCUUGCCAGUGCAAGUGUCUGCUUGGAAGGCCCGAGGGCUGGGACUCAGAAUGGCUGCAGGAGCUGGCCCUGUCCAUCCUCGUCCUCACAGUGACACUGCAGGAGGGACAGAGAUGGGCCACGAGGCCAAGGGGGUCAGGGAACACUGGGGAGUCAUGCAGGUUCCCGAAGAGCCACCAACCACCUAUCACAGACCUCAUGAGAACCCCUGUGAGCCCUGCACUCACGGCUCCUCUGGUCCUGUCUCCGGAUGCUUCCCGGGCCCCUUCUGCACCCACCCCCAGACAGCCACCUGCAAGACAGCUCAUUACUUCCUGCAGAGAAUGACGAAUGACUGCCAACCCCAGCUUAUUUCACUUCCCCUCUAGUUUGCAAAAUGAGAUAACACAGACAGGAAGCGGUGGCUUUUCCCCAGCAGAAGCAGGAGGAACCACUGCGGGGAGAGGAGGGCUAUUUCCACAGUCUUAGGUGACUUUCAGAAGUGUAGUGACUAAACACAGGAAGAGUGGGGAGCCCCCUCGGCAGCAGGAGGCCCUCUCACAGCAACACUGAAUGGGCACCUCUGCCCUCUGCCCUGGAUUGGGUCUCGGGUCAGAAAAGGUGGUAGAAAGGUUUGGGAUGAGGGCGAAGGAGAUUUAGUAUUUUAAAACUCUGCUUUACACACUGUUCCACGGGAGCAGCUGUGACACCACCCAGCCCUCCAGGAGCCGCCACCCACCAGCACCAGGCACUGCGCACCUUGCUCCUCUUGACGUAGGAAUCCUCUUCAUAAACAUCUCGGGACAGGCCGAAGUCUGAAAUCUUCAUCUUCCUCCCUUCGGCUACCAGAACAUUUCUGGCUGCCAGGUCACGAUGGACAAGCUAUGGGGAAAAGAACCACAGGAUCCCCUCAGCCAGGACCCAGCAUGGUGUGGGAGCAGGCAGGCGGCACGUCCCUGAGAUGGCACACACCUUCAUCUCAGCCAGGUACUGCAUCCCCCGGGAGAUCUGCCAGGCAAAGGAGAUGAGAUCACCCAUGGUCAGGGCCCUUUCAUCUGGGUUGUCCAGGUAGCUGGAGUUGCGGCUGCCACCGCUGCCCACGUAACUGGGCCCCACCUUGCGACUCUCCCGGAGGAAGCCCCGCAAAGAGCCAUAUUUGGCAUACUCCACGAUGAGGAAGAGCGGCCCUGGGGCAGGAAAGAAGGACAGAUGGAGGGUGGCCUCCCACAGGGGCAGAGUCCCCCAGGGCCCUGGGUGCUCCGGUGGAGGUGGGGCCAGCUCUGGGGCAAGUGGCCCUGGAAGCACAGGGGAGGGGAAGCUGUAGGGUCUUGGGCAGGCUCUGCCACCCCAGGAGAAAGUCACAGAGGGGCACACCCCUGUCUUGUACGGUGAGUGGCCUGAGGCACCACAAAAGCACAAAGGCGUGAGAGACACACACACACACACACACACACAACCAGCUGCCACUGAGUCGAUUCUAACUCACGGCGACUCCAUGUGCAUCAGAAUAGGACCAAGCUCCAUGGAGUUUUCACUGGCUGUGACCUUUUGGAAGUAGAUCACCAAGCCUUUCUUCUGAGGCACUCUGGGUGGAUUUGAACUGCCAACCUUUUGGUUAACAGCACAGCACUUAACCAUUUGCACCACAUGGUGAAGUGAGUCACACACACAAAAAAAAAAAACCAAACCCAUUGCUGUCGAGUCAUCACAGCCACUCUUAAACCACUUUCACUCUAUCUUGGACUGAGGGGCCAGCGUUGGUGCCUUGGGCAGUGAGCCUGGACUUCUCCUAGGAUGCCCCAGGCAAGGGGCCCGUUUAUGGUCAGCACUGCCUGUGAGGCACCCCCACCCCUUGCUGGCAGUGCAAGCCACAGUCCAGGUGGUGACUGCCAAGGGAGGAAUGCUGUGGGUGCUGGACCUGCACAGGGCUUGCAGACCUGAGGGCCCAGCCCAGGGCCUGCUCUGCCCAGGCCCCCGCCUGCAUGCAGCCUGCUCCUGCAUCCCCAACACCAGGUCCUCUGCUUUUGACAGCUUCUCAGGCUCCAUCCUGCCCUAGGCCAGCCCAGAGCUCUGCCAUGGGCUGACCAACAUCCUGCAGCCCUCUCUGUUGUCCCCUGUGAUCCUGGGGACAGCAGAGCAGGUUUGGAUAGCCAACAGACCAGGCUGGUUAACAUGGUCUCUGACUCCCGUACCUGUAUCUGAGUGUGGUGACAAGGCCCUGCCAUGCAGGGCUGGGGCCUGGGCAUGGGGGCGGGGGGUCACCUGAACACAGUGGGCGCUUAGGGAGCACCAUCCACCCCUGAGCUCCCCUGCUCUGGACACCUGGCCCGGGAGGGUGCUCUGACAGAGUAAGCCCUGAGCACAGCCCUCUCCAGGGCCUCUCAUGCAAACCUGCCACAACACUAAGUCAGAAAGGCCACCUGCAGGAGCCACCUCUGGGAGGAGGAGGAGGCACUGGCCCGGUGGCAUGGGAGGAAGCAAGCUCAGGCUGGGAGCGGAGCUAGGAUGAUGUGGACGGGAGGCUGAGGAGGGAGAGGGAGAGCUGGGGUUCCCAGGGCCCCUGCAUGCAUACCAUCCUGGCUGCAGGCCCCAUGCAGCUUGAUGACGUGGGGGUGGUUGACCUGCUUCAGGAGGUUGAACUCUGACAGCAGGUCCCGCAGCUCACUUGGGGAGGCAUUCUCUGAAACGCAGCACACACAGGGUGGGCUCACGUGGGUCCCUCUGGAGUCCUGCCCACCACUGCCCUGGGCUGGGGACAGACUCCUGGCUGUUUCUGUCAGAGGUGCUAUACCAAGUCCACACAGAGGCCCCCCAGGAUCCAGCUGCUGAAGCUCCUCCUAGCCCCCGGGCUGACAAGGGCCCUGUCGCCCUCCAGGGAAUAAGGCCCUGGGGAGCAGAUUUCUGCAUGGCAGGCUGGACUAUGUGUGUAAACUGUCAGUGUCUUUAGGAAGACAGCAGUUACCAGAGACCCCCCGCCCUCACCAGCUCCAACACCGGAUGACCAGGCACUCAGCAGUGGGAUGGGCCCUGAAGGAGGGUGAAGAGCAACCAGUGAGGAGCCCACACAGCCCUGCCACAGGCUCCUGCACCCACAUGAAGGUCUAGGAUCCCUUAGCCUAUGUGAAGCACCUACGGGGGACAGGGACACCCACACCGGCGCCUACAGUGUCUGUGCCACACGCUUAGCAUGGCCGCUGUUUGCUGUGCACUGGCACUUGUGACUGACACUGGGGCUCCUGAAAUGAAGCAGAUUGCCAUUUAGCGGCUACCGGUCACUCUGUGUUGGAGAGCUCAGCAAAGUCUCAGUGCAUUUGGCACUUCAUGAAGACGAGUGUCCCUCACCGAAGGAUUCCACCUCAAGCCAAGCCCAGCUGUACUCUGGCGCUCGCCACACUCGAGCAGAGCUGGUGACUGACAGCUCCUCCUUGGUCCACAGAGACCCUUCCCCACAGUUUUGUCCCACCCUGACAUCUCUGUCCCAUGGAGUUGUGGUCUGGAAGCUAGGGGACAGCUGGAAUUGGGAUCCCUUUGGGGCUGGUUCUCAGGCCACCCUGGGGACCUGGGGUCUGACAGGUGUAGGGCGACCAGUCUGGGGUCCCGGGUAAGCGUCUGGAAGCCCCGACUGUCUGCACUGGAGCUUGGUGUGCAUGACUACCUCACUGUACCGAGGCCGGCCUCACCCCGCGGCGUGCCACGUGCAGGCAGGCAGGUGGAGAGCUGGACUGCAGCAUGAAGAGUUCAGGCCCACUAGAUGAGGACUGUCCUUACAGGCAGUCUGUCAGACCUUGGAGUCGUGAAAAGCAGCAGAGAGGGUCCACGGGACUUUUGGCCCCAAAUCAAAAAGGCUUUUAAGUUUUUUAAACUCAAACAUUAUCCAGUGUUGGUGGUGAAGCAGCACCACUCAAGAGCCUUCCAAGAAGGAGAGGAACACCCUUGUCCGCUUCUCUGGAGACCUGGCCCCCCAGCUGGGUGUCCUCACACUGGCUGUCAACAGCAGCAGGGGACUCUUUAAGGGGCCCCACAGUAUGCAGCAGGGCCCAUUGGGUUCAUUAGUGACCUCAUCCAGACGCAGUGGCUGACCAGGCCAUGACAUCCCAGGUGUGCAAGAGGGAGGCCCACGCCCAUGCCUGCGACAGGUGUGCACAUCAAAGCCCCGCAACCACAGCCACAGGGGACAACUGCGCAUAAGGGAACCCCACACCCACACCUGCGCCAGGACAGGUGUGCACGAGGGAACCCCACACCUAUGCCCGCGCCAGGACAGGUGUGCACGAGGGAACACCACACCUAUGCCUGCGCCAGGACAGGUGUGCAUGAGGGAACCCCACACCCACUCCCACACCAGAGCAGGUGUGCAUGAGGGAACCCCACGCCCAUGCCUGCCCCAGGACAGGUGUGCAACCAGAGCCCUGCAACCACACCUGCAAGGGAAAGGUGUGCUUGAGGGAACCGUGCACACACGCUCACAUGGCGAUAAGCACCUUUCAGCAUCUUCACAGCCACGGUUGUGUAGCCUGCUUUGCCUUUGAGUCGGAAGGCUGUUGCCUUGACCACUUUUCCAAAUUCACCUUCUCCCAGAGUUUUUCCGAGAACCAAGUUCUUCCGAGGAAAUUCCCACUUUGGGUCCUCCUACAUUGAGGUUGAAAGGAAUUGAGAAGAGCAGAGGGCAGGGAGAGGUGAGCUCAGGUAAAAGAACAGGAAGAAGGCAAAGCCUGUAAACGAGUCAUCUGUGGACAGGCCCAGGGUCCAGGGAGCUGAUCAUCAUCCUGGUCCGCACACAGUGACCACCACCUCUGGAGAUGGUGAGACCUGUAGCCAGUUCCAAGGGUCAGGAGGGUCACCCCUGUCAGGAAGGCAGGAGCUGCCACAGAGUGACCUGAGCUCCGGAUCAGGCCCAUCCUCCCUUGUCCCAUGGUGGACCGAGCCUGCCCUGGACCACUCCAGCCUGCUUCCUGUCACUCCAGCAGCUACACCCAUUGCUGUGCUCAGAGUGGAUGGCUCAGGCACACCAGCACUUGUGGGUCUCAUGCCAGCGUUGCUUCUUCCUGAGACAGUCCCGACCCUCUCAGUGCGGCCUCACUUGGACACCAGGCCCAGAGCAGCACACACUGCCUCCUGCCCAGGUUCCCAGGAGGAUUGAGUCUUUACCCAUGGGCCCACAGGUGGGGAUGCCACAUCCCCCAUGCUCCCUGCUCUCCUAUAAAACCCUGUCCACUCUUCAGACCUGCUCAGGACCCCACUGGGCACCUCCCCAGGCCCCAACUCCUCCUGCCUUCUGCUCAGUCUGAACUCCCACUGGGAUGCCAGUGCCUGUAAGGACUGAGCCACCCUGACCAGGUGUGGGUGCAGCCUCCACGCUGUCUACCAACCUCCUCCUGCCGCAGAGGUGGCACCAACACAGGCCUGGGAUCUAAACCUGUCCUUUCUGACACCUGCUUGUGCCUCCUUUCAGCAGGAGGGCCAUCAAUGCCUUCUAGUUUGUACCUGGUGUCCCCAAGAACCCACAGUCAGGGCAUUGGCUAUGGGUCGGCACUGAAAUGCGGCCACCACCUCCAUGGUGGGCAUCCAAUAAGCCCUUCGCACAUCAGAGAUGCACCAAGCAGGGGCAGGAGCAUCAGCUAAAAUGUUUAAAAUGACAUCCUCCCCACUUCAUAUACAAGAACACCGAGGUCGAAAGGCUAAAUCAUAGGUCUACAACCUCAGAGUUGGGGAAUAUAGACCAAUGGUGUCAGCCAGGGCCCUGGGCGGGAGCCACACGGGGGCCCAAAGGGUGCCUCCACCCAGCUCAGCCUCCUCCAGACAGUCCCUCCUGAGCAGCCGGUCUCCAUACCAGAACCAAGCCUGCCGUGCGAGCUGAGUUACUGCCAAGUGGAUGAGUCAGACCUACAGCCACAGAGCAACUUGACCAAACCAGGAAGCCUAGGGACCACAGUGGCCACCACCUCUGAGCACUCCCUAAACAGCCUAGGCCCUCACUAAGGCAUGGGGUGUCACCCAAGCCAACCCCUACGGUGGCCCGAAAAAACAGGGCCAAGGCCCGAGUGUGAGCACACUGGGUGGGGCACCUCCUGCAAGUCCUCAGCCUCCUCUCAGUUCCCAUCUGUCCAAGCCCAAGGGCGCACACACACACCACACGUGCAUAAACAUACAUGCAUGCACACACUAGUGUGCACUGUGUACACGCACGCAUGUGCACAUACCUGUGCACAUACCACAUACGUGCGCACACACACACACCCUAACCUCUGAGCAUUUUCCCUGGUACCCCCAGAACCCGAGGGCAGAAGGGGGCAGGUCGUCCCAUGCAGAAGGCAGAGGCUGUCCCGCAUGGGGCCAAAGCAUGGCCAAGGAAGACAAGGAGGCCCCUGGUGGAUGCCCCUCCCCAGCCUGACUCUGAGGGACAGGACUGACCCACAGGACCUUGAAACCCCCACAGAGGAGAAGGGUGUCAGAAGCUGAGGCUCCCCCUCCCAGUAGGCCUGCACUUCCUCAGCUGCCCUUGAGGCCUCCAUGCUCUAUGUUGCGGGAGGCCUCUGGGCUGGAGCAGCACCCACUCAGGGUGGCCUGACCACUGAGGGAGCCCUGGUCGAGCCCUUGGCACCAUCUCUUGUCUGAAGCAGGGCAGGGGUCCCAUGAUGGGGUCCCCACUGCUGCCCCAACCCUACACUCUCCUUGACAGAGUGGACUGCUGAAGUGCAGGUGGUAUAUGUCCCUCCUCUGUUACCCACCCCCCAGGGACUCCAACCCUUCAGAGAAUAAUAUCCAAAUGCCUCCUCAGGACCUGGCAUCCUACAGCCUUCUUCCUCCUAGCAUUUGGGGCACCCUCCCUGCCAUGGAUUGAAUAAUGUCCCCGCAAAAAUGUGUGUAUCUACUUGGUUAGGCCAUGAUUCUCAGUAUUGCAUGGUUGUCCCCCAUUUUGUAAUUGUAAUUUUAUGUUGAGAGGAUUAGGGUGGGAUUGUAACACUACCCUUACUUAGGUCACCUCCCUGAUCCAAUGUAAAGGGAAUUUCCCUGGGCUGUGGCCUGCACCACCUUUUGUCUCUCAAGAGAUAAAAGGAAAGGGAAGCAAGCAGAGAGUUGGGGACCUCAUACCACCAAGAAGGCAGCUCAGGGAGCAGAGUGUGUCAUUUGGACAUGAGGCUCCUGCAAUGUUCCCAGACCAGGGGAGGACUGAUGACAAGGACCUUCCUCCAGAGCCAACAGAGAGAGAAAGCCUUCCUCUGGAGCUGGCGCCCUGAAUUUGGACUUCUAGCCUACCGGACUGUGAAAGAAUAAACUUCCCUUUGUUAAAGCCGUCCACUUAUGGGAUUUCUGUUACAGCAGCACUAGAUGACUAAGACAUUCCCCAAGACUCCUCAGUCCUUUCCCUGCUUCACUGGGUUUGGCCUCAGCUCUAAACCGGCACCCGUCUCCACCCUAAACUGCCUCCGUGCCCCUAAAGCUCGGAGAGGCGUCUCCUGCUGCUGGCGCUGAGUGCACUCUUCCUGAAGCUUGGUUGCCUGUGGGCUGUGGGCUGAGCCCCUUACCCAGGCUUUGAGUGCAUGCUCACAGUGACAGGGAGGCCUGCAACGAUGAUCAGAGGCUAACUCUGCUGCAGGCCCACAAGGAAGGGCCAGCCCAGCCACAGUGACCAGGCCUCUCCUGGGGGAGCCUCACCGGGAUCUUGAAGGCAUCCACCGAGACCUGGUUCUCCAUGGAGUCUAUCGAGGGUCGGCGGGUGGCAGACGAGGAGUAGCUGACUGGGAAGGCUUGGGCAGGCCGGCGGAAAGUCAUCUCAGCUGAGGCGAUGGGUGGUUUAUGGGCGUUCUUAUGGUAGCGAUGGAUGCAGAAGGAGGACAGAAGCACAGAGACGACGAAGGAGAAGAGGACAGCUGCCGCGAUGACUGUGCGGCAGAGCUCGUCACACAGUGCCUCUGUGGGCAAGGCUGUGUGAGACUGCAGCCAGGGCCCAUGGCCAGUUGCAGGAGCCAGCCAGGCACUCGAGAGCGCUCAUGGGGCUGCCUGGAGAGGUUCUCAGCAGCCCGGCAAGGGAGCAUCGCUGACUUGAAGGCAGUGAGAAUAAUGUAAAUACGCUGACUGAGUGCACCAUGCUGUAUGUGUGUGUGUGUAGGGGGGGUCCUUACUGCGGUCACAAGCCACCAGUGCCCCUCACAUGGGGGGAGGCACAGGACCCCCCCCCCAACAGAGACUCAGCCCUUCCUCCCUACCAGGCCCUGCAGGGCUGGGAGGGAGGCGUAUGCUUUUCUCUGUGUUGCAGAUACCUUUGGUAUUUUCUUUUUUGUAAAGAUAAGGGAAAAAAAAAAAAAGUGGCGCAGAACCUAGGCCAAACAAUCACAACCCAAAUACCAGGAAAACGUUGCUGGCCUCAGGGCAGAAGACCCCCAUUAGUGCGGUCAGCUUAGGCUGGGGGCCAGGGGGUGUCAGAGGCCCUAGAUGCGACCCCCAGCACUGCAGCCCUGGGACUGCCUUUGAGGCUCUGGAUGCGGCAGGUCCCUGCUGGACAGCCCACGGAGCUAUUCAACAGAAGUGAUAUCACAGAGCCAUGGCCCUGGAAGACACUCUAUGGGGCAACCUGGACCAACUCCCUGGUUGCACUACUGGGGAGACAGUCCCAGUCUCAGUCUCACUGAGCUCCCACAAUUCCUCCCUCCCUGAGGCCUCCGAACUGCCGAUGUGAGUCCUCCCUGGGGCUCAGGGAGAUGUGGGAUCACAGCAUGGGGUCCUGGUCCUUGCCCAGCCUGGCCAAGCCCCCAGCCUGGCCUGGCCCGCCACUCACCCUGGCUGUCUUCUGGCUCACAGAAGCACUUCUUGUCCUCAGGGAAGCAGUUACAGAUGCCAUAGCCAGCUUUAAUUCCCCGCCGCUCCCCUGGCUCGUGGCCACCAAUGAUGCUGCCUCCCCCUGGAGAUUCAAACACAGCCACAUCAGCCUCCUGCCCAGGCUUGCCAGCCCUGGGCCCCCAGAGCUCGCAUCUGAGGUGCACGGAAAGACCCAUGUCAGCACUCCGGGCCGGAAGAGAGUGCUGCACGGAGCUCGUUCCCAUGGGGGCUGGGGGCACAGACUGUCAAGGGGCUUGCUGGGGUCCCAGAGAAGGGACAGAAGGAUGGCUGGGCAGGGAGGCAUGGCCAGGGAAGCCAGCAAAACAGGAGGGUUGUGUCUAAUCAGCAUGUUGGCAGGUGUGGAGCACCCUGGCCAGGCACCAGGCUCCACACUUGGGACCGAGCCCACUGCCUCAACAAAAGUUAGGGCCCCACAGAUACAGCAGAGGAGUGGCCACCGGCUGGAUCCACAUUUGCCUCCUCCCACCUUGGCUGUGCCCCCGUGGGGCUCUUACGGAGGCAGUCCUGGGGACAAAUGUGUAAGUCUCUACUUUCCACAGCGUCACAGUGGCCAUCAGGGCACGUCCUGGUGCUGGGGGAGCAGGUUGAGAAGUUCCUGGUGAUCCCUGUGACACACAGCAAGCUGGUCAUCACUAUGUCACAUGUCUCCUCUCAGGCUUCUAGAAGGCGCCCUGCGGAACGCACCCCCCACCUCCCACAGCCUGGUCAGGGGCCUCCCCAAUCAGCCAUGCCCACUAAGAAGGAAGCUGAGGCCUGGGCAGAGACAGGCACAGGCUGUGCCCUGAGUGCAUGGAGGCCAGGCAGCCUGGACUGAGCCCAGGGGAGAAGGGUGUGGAGGCCAGAUGGGCUGGGCCUCCAAAGGCCUCAACUGCAUGGGAGCCCACUGGUGGUGGAAGAGCCUCUGCGUCUGCGCAGGGAACAUGGCGUGAGCCACGUGGGGAGACGGCACUGGGGAGCACCAGAGUGCAGACAGCCCAACACAAGGCUGCCGGCCUAUGGGGACCCCAGCUGCAAACAGCCCCUGGCCUCUGGGCCCCUCCCAAGCAUGGCUGCAUGGGGCCUACCUUUGCCAUCGCCCUGUCUCCACUCACACCUGCCGGUCAAGGAGCCCAGGCCACCACACUCCUCGCACUCGGGGCGCCGCUUGCUGACCGCACAGGACAGGGGGCAGCCAGCUGCCUCGGCCACAUCUGGGAGGGCAGACAAGCAGGGUCCCAUGAGGUUGGCCAGCACUGCCGACAGGAGAGGCACUUGCUGGGCUGCCUGGCAGUCAGGCCUGAAGCCACGACUCAGCACUAGGGUAGCUGAGCUGGUGAAGGAGCACAGGGUCCUGGCGGGGCCUGGGAUGGGGCGCUCUCCAUACAGGGAUGGGUGCGGUGCCUGCCCAUCACAGUGCACAGUCAGAGGGGAGCACAGAGGGGAGCGAGGACAGGGAGCCAGGGAGGGAGGCCAGACUCAGCACAUCAACACACAGGAUGCUCGGUUAACUCUGAACUUCAGAUAAACAGUGAACGGUAACAACAAUGCAAGGGACAUACUUGGAAGUUUGUCUUCCAGAUAAACUACGACAUCUGCAAACACUGCACGGGAUAUAGUCAUACCAGAAAACUAUCUGUUAUUUAUCUUUAAAUGAAAUUCCCAUUUAACCAGGGCCCUAAAUCAAGUGUGUGUAUGAACUACAUCAAAGGCAGUGGGGGCAGGGAGGGAAGCAACAGAGGCUCCAAGGCAGUCCCUUGGGGUGGAAGCUACUUCAUGCUACUCCCCUCCAACCCUUCCCACUGCGAGGUGAGUACUAUUGCUCUAAAUGUAUGGGGAGCAGACACUACCUGGGGGGAUUUCCAAGGGGUGCGUGGGGAAGUCGGGACUGCAGGGUGAGGCUGCUCCACGCCCACCUGUGCUCUGUUCUGCUAAAGCCCUGCCCAGUCCCCCACUUCCCGGGCACUCACAGGUUCCCACCACCGUGACGAGCAGCUGGACCUGGGCCUGCCUGCGCGUCUGCCGGUCAGCGGCCACCACCAUGUACUGGAGCUCAGCACAUUCGGGCUGCCGCAGAACCUCCGGGUCACUCACAAACAGGGUCCCAGUGGUGUCCUCUGCUGAGGUGACCACCCCCAGAGUGCUGCAGUUGGCCCCAGAAGGCUGUAGUUUAUACUGGACGAGGAUGCCGCUGAACUCCAGGCAGUGCUCCACGCAGACCUUCCCGACCUAGGCAGAAGCAUAAGCGUCUCAGCCAGGUAGGUGCUGGCAGGCUACGGCCCCGCAGGGGACAGGGGACCCGCCCCCCCAGACAGCUCCUGGCCUGGUGCAUCAACUCAGCUGGGGGUCAGUGCCUCCCCCAGAACUGCCAUCCUUCUGCCCCCCUGCCCACCUGAUGCACAGGCCAAUCAUGCAGACGGGUACCAAGCCUCCUUGGGCUGACCAUGCUGUUCAGGCCCUGGUACCACCCACACUGGUCCUGUGAGCCAGGGGAGCAGAGAGGAACACGGGGCGCUGAGGUUUGGCUUGGUGGCAGGAAAGGACCCAGGCAGGCCAUCUAGGGAAGGGUUGACUCCCUCCUCCCCUCAUUCCUUCAUUCAUUCAAACAACAGAGGCUGAUGCACACCUCCUGCGCCCUAGCCCCUGCUCAGGGAGCUAUGUUUAGUGCUGGAUGAAGCCAACCAAGGUCUUGAGCUCCUGGAACUCAUUCAUGGGAUGAACUGCCCCUUCCAAAAGCAGAUAAAGAUGUAAAUAUAUCCCCUGUCAGGCAAAGGGUAAGGAGCGACAGGUGGGGGGUAUUUUAGACAAGAUGAUCAGGGAAGGAGCUCUCUGAAGGUGACACGAGUGAAGCUCUGAAAAAGCCAAUUCUGGGUAAAGAAGCUUCCAGAUAGAGGAAACGGCAAGCGCAAAGGCCCCAGGGCAGGAUGGCUGAGCAUGUCUGAGAAACAGCCGGUGGUACCUUCCGGACCCCGCACACCCCCGCUGCUUCUUGCUUCAGAUCUCCCUCCUCUCAGGACACUGCUGCCUCUCCAGCUGGUUGGGGGGAGUCACGAGCCUGGCAGUGGAGUCAGACAGCCCAGGGCAGCCACCUGGCCCACGGCAGGCUCUGCAUCCUCAUAGUAAGGUGUGGAAAUUUGUGAUAUGUGAGACCAGAAAAUCCGGACAAGCCCCAAGCAGCUGUGGGUUGGGGUGGGGUGCUCAGCCAUAUGGGCGCCUGUCCAGGUUGUGGACUCUGAGGAGUGUCUGAGAGGCUCAGAGGAAGGACCUGGCAGUGGGGCAGGGGCUUUGGGCUGAAGCAGGUGCCGAAAGGUAGUAAUCCGGAGCCUAACAGGGCACGAUGUGGCCCCAGGGGUCUCCAUGGCAUGGUGGCCUCUUACCCACUGUCCUUCCUCACUCCUUCUGGCCACGGGUCUUGAUGAGUCCAGCUCUCCCAGGGCCACUCAGAGCACUGCCCCUUGGCCAUGGGACUUGUCCUCCAGUAUGGUCUCCUAUCCCAUGCUAUGCCAGGGAGGCCCCGGGACUUGGGCCUUUCUUCCCAGGGUUUCUAGGCUGACUGCCACCAGAGGAUAGCCCACCCCUGCUGACCUGACCUUGUAGGCCCUGGAGCCGUAAGACUCCACUUUACAGGUCUGUAGCUCCCCUCUUACCGCAGCCACCCUGGGGUGAGGCUGCCAUGGUGGGAACUAAGGCAAGGCAGGGUGAGAAGUCCCUGGUCUGCAGCUGGCCCAGCCCUGCACGGACCUACCCCAAAGCAAAGCCAGGCUGGGCUCCUCCAAGCUCGCGCUUGACGUUACCACAAAAAUGGGUGGGUACAUAGCACUUUCCCCGUCCACAAAGCCAGGGCCUUCCCACUUCCUCAGCUCAUCCUCAGUACUGCCCAAGGUCACUACUCUUAAUUCACAAUUUAACACCCGGGGAGGGAGAGGGUGAGCAGCCACUGUCUGCUGAGUCUUUGGAGAGUGCAAUUAACCCACCUCCAGCACUGCAUGCCCCAGCCCUAGUCCAGCCCUCUGCGGAGACCUUCUCCACUCUGUCUUGUCAGCCCCAGGCCCCCAACCCACCCACAGGGAUGCCCAGAACUUUACAAGAGGCCAGGGUCAGCAGCAGGUGGGCUGGACACAGGCAGCCACCAGGAAUGGAUGGGGUAGGGGAACCACCCACGGGGACAUGGUAACACCACAGGGCAGGAGGGUGUGGCCAGUAACAUGGUCUUCCAAAGAGGACUGAUCCAAGUGCUGCUCCAUCAAGAGAACUUGGGGUGCUAGACCAGGUGCGCACUGCAAUUGCAGCCAAGCAGAAAAGUGUUGGAGAAAAACUUGCUACAAAACAUUGCACCAAAGUGCUCUAUACUGGAUAUUCCUCCAUAUUCUUCCUCUUCUUUAAUGAGCAUUUAUUACUUUUUUAAUUUUCCACUUCCGUUAUUUUCCAGUAACAAAUGCAAUAUAAGCUCUCUAGAAAAUAUAUUUGCAGGAGGUAAAAAGCGGAAGCCCCUGCCUUUCCUCCAGAAGCAGCCACUGUUAAUUGCUGUUUGUGUUCACGUACUUGCAAAUUCCCAUUGAUGAAGACUUGUUUUUGCACAAAUGAAGUCACAUGAGACCAACGGUUCUGCAAACUACUUUUUCCCUUAAGGAACAUCUGAGUCAGGAUAUGGCCCUGCUCUUAUAUUAGUACAAAACAUGUCUUAGAGAUGCCCAACGAAGGGAAGGAGCAAAGAAAGAAUUGCCCAAGAACCUCACCAGCCCUGCCACUUUGGCCCUUCCAGGUCUUCUCUGGCCCUAUGUCUGGGCUACAACCUGGCCAGCUCCAUGCACUGGCUGGGCAGGGGGUGGAAUGGCCCAUACCCCAGCCCUGCUUUUGACCUGCUAAUCGGACACCACAGAGCACCACCAGAACCUCAACUCUCCAUACCCCCCAGGCAGCUGACGCAGUAUGGGCUCACCUGGGCAAAGCGGCGGGCCCUCCUGUUCACCACGAAAGAGUAAGUGCUGGGGAAACGCAGGCUGAUGGGUAGCACAGAGACAUUGAAGUGGAGGAGGAGAGCACCGUCCCCGGCACCCUGGAAAUCUGAGUCAUUGACCAGCACGGUCAGAUGCAGGCUGCGACUCUCUGAGAUGGAGAGGCUGCGGUUCAGCACAAGCCCUGUGACAGGUGGAGGGGAGGGUAGCGAUGAUGCCUAAGCUGGCUCUGGGCCAAGGGCCACACCCCAUGCCCCCUGCGCACCUCCUCCCAGAUGCACGCCCCUGCGCUUACACACAGCCCAGUACACAGGGGACAGGCCUGGGGCCCUGCCAAGUUAGAACUAGUGCAUAAAUUUCCACCACCAGGCUGAACUGGGCACCCAAAGAACCCUUUCUGGCCAGGAAAUGACCUGUGUGUGUGUGACAGUGUGAGUGGGCUGUGUGUGCACGUGAAUGGGGUUAAGGCACAUGUGAACCUGGACUCCUCCUGAAACAGAUCCCAAAACAAGGACCGAAUCGCAAAUGGUUUGUAUCUGGAAGGUGAUCCCAGGACACACAAUCAGGGUAGGAGAGUUAGGGUGCGAGGCAGGGAAUGAAAGGCCAUUUUAUAUAAGCUGCCCACUGAGCAUGUGAGUACUGUGGCCACAUGGAGCUUAACCUGCUGGAGCAUUCCGGAAGCCUACAUAGGACAACCACCUCAGAAUCCCCCACUCAAGGCAUGAGAGGUGGCUACUGUCCACCACCUCCUGUUAGUACGGAGCUGCAGGUGGGGGUGUGUGCACGCUUCUGUGUGUAUGUGUCACAACUCCCUGGCACCUCAGGCCACCCUGGGGGUGACAGCAAGUGACAGCAGGGACACAUGCGUCUGUGUGCAUGGUGGGCACAGGGCAGCACGAUGGGCCCGUAGAGCCUAAUGUGGGCUUUGGGGAAAGAGAGUAGCAUGUAAGACCCCAUAAACACAGGGAGGGCUGAGGCAGACGGGCGGGCAUGAGCGCGGGUAGCUGUGACCAGGAUAGCCCAUCUUACUGUAUUCGUGCAAAGUGGCCCGCACGAAGCUGCCGUUGCCUGGGGCCAAAGUCUCAUUGGGAGAGUGCUCCACGCGGAAGGUCUGGCGCGCCCAGGCGUCCCCGGGGAGCAGCGUGCUCGUGUACCGCCUGGGGAGGUCCCCGGAUGCAGGGACCACAUCUGCAUCGAAGACCCGCAGCGCGGCAACCACAGUGCCCUAUGGAGGGGAGGGUGCCACGUCAAGGCUGGCAGUAAACUCAGACAGACAGAUGGACAAACACGUGGCUAGAUGGGCAGCGGAACAGACAGAGGAAUAAAUGGAUGGAUGGAGAGACAGACACUCGAAAAGGCAGAGUGACAGAAAAACAGACAGAUAUAAGGGCAGACAGGCACCUCCUUCCGCUUGAACUCCACCACAGCGCUGGCGGUGUCAAGGCCCCCAGGGAAGGUGGGUGGCGAGUCGUCCUCAUCAUACACAGUCACAGGAAAGGGCACCAUGACCUCCUCCUCACGGGAGCCAGCCCGCACUGUGCAUGCAGCCACCAGCUCGUACUUCUCUUGCUGCUCUCGGUCCAGGGCCCAACGUGUGCUCACCUCCAUGCUGUCUGGGCUGCAGUGGAAGGGCAGGUGCUCACCUGUGAUCAAGCAGACCAGCAACUGGUGACCAGGAUAGGACAGCCGAGGCAGGAAUGGGCGAACUGCCUUCCUUGCAGAGAGGGGUCUGAGGUCAGACCGGGGUGUGCUGGUUGGCUCUCCUGCCUGCUGGCCCCAUGCCUGCCUCCUGGGUACCACAGUGUAGUGUUAUGGGAAGGGCCGGACAGGAGGCCUGUGCUGAACAACCAGUGAGGCGACCUAGGUGGGCCUCUAUGAACCAGUGCUGGGUGUCCAAGGCCUUCCAGGGCCUGCACCACCUGUGCCCUUGGGGGCCUUGGACUGGCAGCAGUGAAGGGUGGCAGCUGCUUGGGAGUAACUCUGGCGCAGGCCAGGCUGCAGGCCCACAGACUCCCAGUCAUGGGCUUUUGCUGUUAUUAAAAAAUAACGUUGGGAAUUUUUAAAUUAUAGAAGCACUAUGGGCUCAUUUUAGGGAAUAUGGGAAACAAGGAAAUCAGCCACAAUCCAGCACUAGGAAACAUGCAGUGGAUGUGUGUACCAUCUGACAGCACCAAGGCACACCCUCUCCUCGGCCUGAGCGUUUGCACCUCAGCUUCCUCGUCAUGCAGUGGGGUGAUGGUGGCCAACGUCCCUGUUUGGACCUGCUCUGCUGUGUCUGCUGACAUCCAAGGACCCCACCACCAACCGCAACACACCUUCCACCAGAGCCCUGCCUACAAUCUACCCUCAGGAGAAAGCUCAGGAAAGGUGCAAGAUUGGAUGUCUGGAGGUCACACUGAUGACACAGCCACCCACAGUGGGGGCAGCCUCAACUCUGCUCCCUGGACACGUGCCCUUCAGAGCCACAGGUUACACAGCAACCUGGGAUGCUUACCACAUAAUGUUUUCCUCUACUCUUUCUGAACAUAAAGUACAUGUUAUGCAUAA